rnacentral:rRNA from 1 species
GAUCAAGUGUCUGAAGGGCAUUUGGUGGAUGCCUUGGCAUUGAGAGGCGAUGAAGGACGUGACAGGCUGCGUUAAGCCUUGGGGAGCUGCCAGUAAGCUUUGAUCCGAGGAUCUCCGAAUGGGGCAACCCACCGCUUCGGCGGUACCGUAGUGUGAAUACAUAGCGCUGCGGGGCGAACCCGGCGAACUGAAACAUCUCAGUAGCCGGAGGAAAGGACAUCAACCGAGACUCCGUUAGUAGUGGCGAGCGAACGCGGACCAGGCCAGUGGCCUGAAGGAAGCAACCGGAACGGUCUGGAAAGGCCGGCCAUAGCGGGUGAUAGCCCCGUACGGGUAGAGCUUCUUUUGGGUCCUUGAGUAGGGCGGGACACGAGAAAUCCUGUCUGAACGUGGGGGGACCACCCUCCAAGCCUAAGUACUCCUCAAUGACCGAUAGUGAACAAGUACCGUGAGGGAAAGGUGAAAAGCACCCCGACAAGGGGAGUGAAAUAGACCCUGAAACCGAAUGCCUACAAGCAGUGGGAGCGAGGCUCUUCAAAUCGCUUUGCGAUUUGGCGAGCCCCUUUAUCUCUCGCGCCGGCCGCAUUCCAAGUGGAAUGCAGCAGGCUCCGAGGGGGCGGCCUGACCGGCCGGCGGCCUUCGGCCUUGCCACGACGACAAGUGUCGUCGUCGUGGAUGAGAGCUGAAUAUGGCCACGAUACGGCAAAACGAUUUUGUUGUGUCGACAGCCGGAUGGAGCCAGGGUGCAGUGCAGCUGCACGCCGCGCCAACUGGCGCGCCCCCGUGGAGGCGUUUUGCAUCGCAAAAUCGCCGUGAACGAAAAAGGGCUCAUCAAAAUUGCGAAGCAAUUUGAUGAGCCUCGUGACCGCGUACCUUUUGUAUAAUGGGUCAGCGAGUUAGUGUUGCGAGCGAGCUUAAGCCGAUAGGCGUAUGCGCAGCGAAAGCGAGUCUUAAUAGGGCGUUUAGUUCGUGGCAUUAGACCCGAAACCGGGUGAUCUAGCCAUGGGCAGGUUGAAGGUGCGGUAACACGCACUGGAGGACCGAACCCACC